GACGAACGCUGGCGGCGUGCUUAACACAUGCAAGUCGAACGGAAAGGCCCUGCUUGCAGGGUACUCGAGUGGCGAACGGGUGAGUAACACGUGGGUGAUCUGCCCUGCACUUCGGGAUAAGCCUGGGAAACUGGGUCUAAUACCGGAUAGGAGCCAUUUUUAGUGUGAUGGUUGGAAAGUUUUUUCGGUGUAGGAUGAGCUCGCGGCCUAUCAGCUUGUUGGUGGGGUAAUGGCCUACCAAGGCGGCGACGGGUAGCCGGCCUGAGAGGGUGGACGGCUACAUUGGGACUGAGAUACGGCCCAGACUCCUACGGGAGGCAGCAGUGGGGAAUAUUGCACAAUGGGCGCAAGCCGGAUGCAGCGACGCCGCGUGGGGGAUGACGGCCUUCGGGUUGUAAACUCCUUUCGCUAGGGACGAAGCUUUUUGUGACGGUACCUAGAUAAGAAGCACCGGCUAACUACGUG
rnacentral:rRNA from 1 species